AGUGAACGCUGGCGGUAGGCCUAACACAUGCAAGUCGAACGGCAGCACAGUAAGAGCUUGCUCUUACGGGUGGCGAGUGGCGGACGGGUGAGGAAUACAUCGGAAUCUACUUUUUCGUGGGGGAUAACGUAGGGAAACUUACGCUAAUACCGCAUACGACCUACGGGUGAAAGCAGUGGAUCGUCGGACCUUGCGCGAUUGAAUGAGCCGAUGUCGGAUUAGCUAGUUGGCGGGGUAAAGGCCCACCAAGGCGACGAUCCGUAGCUGGUCUGAGAGGAUGAUCGCCCACACUGGAACUGAGACACGGUCCAGACUCCUACGGGAGGCAGCAGUGGGGAAUAUUGGACAGUGGGCGCAAGCCUGAUCCAGCGAUCCCGCGUGGGUGAAGAAGGCCUUCGGGUUGUAAAGCCCUUUUGUUGGGAAAGAAAAGCAGCAGGUUAAUACCCCGCUGUUCUGACGGUACCCAAAGAAUAAGCACCGGCUAACUUCGUG
rnacentral:rRNA from 1 species